AUGCAAUGUGAGUCAAUGUGUCUUUAUUUAUUUAUUUAUUUACUCAUUCAUUUUUUACUCUCAAAACGCAAUCUUAUACAAGUAGUGUUUACACACACACACACACACACACACACACACACACACACACACACACACCACCACACACACACACACACACACUCACUCUCUCUCUCUCUCUCACACACACUCACACACACUCACUCACUCUCUCUCUCACACACUCACUCACACUCUCACACACACAGGCGCAGGGUGUAUGUGGCGUUAACAUGCAGUGAGAUCCAGUGGUCACACAUACAGGCCUGACCACACACUCCAUCACACACUACCAAACCAAUCAAACCCACACAAACCUGACUGCCCUUCCACCUGACUGACCCGUUACACACAGACUAGUUCCCUCAACCAGCCACUCGUUCUCCUUCUGACUCCAGUUCAGUUCCUUAAAGACACAGCUCACCCGAGACGAUCGUUUACACCCUCAUGACCUCCAGAGACGUUCUGUGGAACUUCAACUUCAGAACGAGCGCUGCAUAAUAAUUAAAUCUUUAGUUGUGAUUACAAUUACGAAUGCCACAAUUACAUAAUGUGUGUUUUUUUCUUUCUACAGUUUAUCUUAAGGGUUUUUAUUUUAAUUUUAGUAUAACACCAUAAUACCAUGAAUAUCUUACCAAACCAAUGUAUAGCUGACAUCUGAGUCUUAAUACGUUAGAAAGGUAAUAAAAGUUUUCAGCCGGUUUAUUUUUUUAUAUUAAAAUAUGGCAUGCAGUUGCUUCAAACAAUGGUAUAACAAUUCAAAACAUCAUUCAGUGUAAAUGGUGAUAAUCGUAAAUAACGAUCGCACUUACAAUUUCAAGGGAAUAAUCCACAAUUAUGAUUUUUGUCAUAAUCGUGCAGCUCUCAUUUACUGUGAAUAUAGCGGAACACCUCCUUGUUUUUUAUUUUUAGGGUGAAUUAUUACUUUAACAAUUCUAUGAAAAAAUGAUUUGGUUACUAAACCAUAAUUGGUCAGCACUGGUUUGAAAUUCAGUAAUAACUGUAAAAACACUUUUAAUUCUAAAUGAUUUAAUAGUUAAUAUUUUGAAUACAUUUAUUAGACUCUGUGUCAACACUCCUGUGUCUGUACCUUCUUUUGUGGUGUAAAAAUGUAUUUAUUUGACUAGGUAAGAGGUCAAAGGUCACUAAUAAAAACUAACAAAUAAUAAUUAAAUAUAUUAUUGACAAUACUUAUUUUAUCAAUAAACAUUAUUUAAUAAUUUUUAAAUAAAAUAAUAAUAAAAACUUAAAGUCAUUAUUUGUGCCUAGUUUAAAGUCUGUGCCAAUUUGCAGUGUAAAAUAUAUAUAUAUUUAUCUUCGUAACAGGUCACCAAAAAAUAUUAAUAUAUACACAAAUAAUAACUGUAAAAAAUUAUAAUUGUUACUAUUUAUUUUAGCAAUAAUGAUUAUUAAAUUAUUAAUAAAAUCAAUUUUCAAAAUUUUACAGCCAUUAUUGGUAAUAUUUUUUUUUAUUACUACAAAUAAUAAUUAUUUUUAUAUUUUUUUCUAUUAUUUUUUACAGUUAUUAGUUGUGUCCAGUUUAAAGUCUGUGUCAGCACACCUGUGUCUGUACCUUAUUUGCAAUGAAAAACAAAUAUUUGUAUUUAUUUAGCUAGGAAAGAGGUCAAAGGUCACUAAUAGAAACAUAACUUAACGUACAUAUAUUAUCGUUUUAAUUAGUGACCUUUGACCUCUUGUCUGUAGUGAGAAAAGUUUAAUUUAAAGUAAAUAUAAUUAAAGAUCUGUAUUGAAAACGAGGACUCUUCUUGUGUACAGAUGAUGUCAUAUUUUCUGAGUCCUCCCGUCUCACUAACAGUUGUAAUGCACUGAUGCGGUGUUGUCAAACACUCACACACACACGUGAAAAAGCUCACAUUAAACAUGAUUUGCUUCGCAGAUUAAGCAGCGCAACAGGAAAGGAUUUUAGGAACUGAAGCGCUCCGGCCUUGAAGGCGUGAAGCUCUCGAUCACGUGCAGCUGCUCCAGAGUUCACCGGGACUGACUCAGUCACAGUUUAGCAACACUAGCAGGAAGUGGUCUUUUGUGGCCUGUUUGCACUGGAGUCAGAAACAAUGAAGCUAAUGAAGAUCCAUCAGCGUGCAGACGUCAUCGAGAGAGACAGGACGGCCAGGGUGGGAUGAAGAAGGCUAAUCCCAGAAUCCUUCAGUGUAAUCAGGAUGACCUCUGACCUCUGAACAAACACGUUUGUGUCUCAUCCGUAUCUACAGCCUCUGUCUGUGUGGAAGCAAAGCGUCUCGUAAUCUACAGACUGUGACCUCCUGUCUUCAUUUAAUACUAGAGCAGCUUCAUCACUAGUACUAGUGCUAGAACAUCAAAACACUUCCAAAACAAUCCUCUGCAGUGAAUGGGUGCCGUCAGAAAUGUCACUGCAGGAAGUGUUAUUAUUUAAUGCUGGAUGUGUUUCAGCUUUAGUCUUCUCCAGAUGUUAACUGCUGGACUGGAGUGCUGUGGAUUAUUGUGAUGUUUUUAUCAGCUGUUUGGACUCUCAUUCUGACGGCACCCAUUCACUGCAGAGCAUCCACUGGGUUCUACAUGCACUUAAACUGAAGGCAACAGGAAGUGAUGUCACUCAGAUGUCCUGAGACGCCACAGACUGAGUUGAUCUCUUGAGGACGGUGGAUAUAUUCUGAUGGCAGAUCAGUUUACAGGCUUUCUUCUGCCAUCAUGGCACCACACACACACACACACACUCAUGCCCUUCCACCACGCUGCGUGAACACACUUACAGCGAGAAGCGCAGCGGCUUCAUGGUGUUAGACUCACUGCAACACUGAACACACACAUGAAUCUCUCCAGACGCACUGCAGAACAGGGUUUGACCCGUGUGUGUGUGUGAUGAGCUCGAGUCGUAAUCAGACACUGACAGUAAUCUGAGCGUGUGUGUGUGUGUGUGUGUGUGUGUGUGUGAGUGUGUGUGUGUGUGUGUGUGUGUGUGUGUGUGUAGUGUGUGUGUGUGUGUGUGUGUGUGUGUGUGUGUGUGUGUGUAGUGUGUGUGUGUGUGUGUGUGUGUGUGUGUAGUGUGUGUGUGUGUGUGUGUGUGUAGUGUGUGUGUGUAGUGUAGUGUGUGUGUGUAGUGUGUGUGUGUGUGUGUGUGUGUGUGUGUGUGUGUGUGUGUGUGUGUGUGCAGAAGUGCAUGCCAGGAACAAUUCGGGAAUUCGAGGCGGUGUUUCAAAGGGUCCCAGGAUAGUUAGCAUUGCCCUAAGAACUGGAUUUUUGUGAUAAUGUGUAUAUGGUAGACAUGGCACAAUGUGGUUAACCAGACUGGCACAAAGACUGGCUCUUGUCUCCAAGCCAUACAAACUGAGAAGUAGAGAGAGAAAGAGAGCUGAUAUGUGUUGUUGUGGAAGUAGGUCAGGCGUCACAUUCAUUAACAUCCUCCUCUCAUGCCCAAUGAUGUGAGCUGUUCCAAGAGAGAGAGAGAGAUAGAGAGAGAGAGGGAGCUGAUAUGUGUUGUUGUGGAAGUAGGUCAGGCGUCACAUUCAUUAACAUCCUCCUCUCAUGCCCAAUGAUGUGAGCCGCUCCCACUAUCACACGCGAGUACGUGUACAUAUCGCCGUAUGUGUGCAUGCAUAAAUCAAGGCAUGCAUAUUAAAUAUUAUCAGAGGUUAUCGAUUCGAGGCAGACGCUUGUGCAUUUGUAAAGAAAGUCGGUAUUGUGUUGGUCAUCAUUUCAUAGCAAUUUAACCCCACCAUCAAGGCAAUAGACGUAAAUAAACUUGGUUACUGUGGAGAUAAAAGCAGUACUUAGUGAAAAAAAAAAAAACUAAAUUAGAAAUAGUCAAAGAACUAAUAAUAACC
rnacentral:lncRNA from 1 species